rnacentral:sRNA from 1 species
AGACUGGGUGCUUCAGAAGCUGCUGCAUUUGACAGUGACGAAUCGGAAGCAGUGGGUGCAACCCGAAUUCAGAUUGCCCUGAAGUAUGAUGAGAAGAAUAAGCAAUUUGCAAUAUUAAUCAUCCAGCUGAGUAACCUUUCUGCUCUGUUGCAGCAACAAGACCAGAAAGUGAAUAUCCGCGUGGCUGUCCUUCCUUGCUCUGAAAGCACUACCUGCCUGUUCCGGACCCGGCCCCUGGAUGCCUCAGACACUCUAGUGUUCAAUGAGGUGUUCUGGGUAUCCAUGUCCUAUCCAGCCCUUCACCAGAAGACCUUAAGAGUCGAUGUCUGUACCACCGACAGGAGCCAUCUGGAAGAGUGCCUGGACGCUGUGUCUGCUCUGUUGGAACAGACAGCAGUGGAGCUGGAGAAGAGGCAGGAGGGCAGGAGCAGCACACAGACACUGGAAGACAGCUGGAGGUAUGAGGAGACCAGUGAGAAUGAGGCAGUA